rnacentral:rRNA from 1 species
CAAUAGAUACCCGGGUAGUCCACGCUGUAAACGAUGAACACUAGGUGUAGGUGAUGUGAAAGUUAUCUGUACCGAAGCCAACGCGUUAAGUGUUCCGCCUGGGGAGUACGGCCGCAAGGCUAAAACUCAAAGGAAUUGACGGGGGCCCGCACAAGCAGCGGAGCGUGUGGUUUAAUUCGAUGCGACGCGAAGAACCUUACCCAGGUUUGACAUGCACGUAGUAGUGAAGCGAAAGCGGAACGACCCUUCGGGGAGCGUGCACAGGUGCUGCAUGGCUGUCGUCAGCUCGCGUCGUGAGAUGUUGGGUUAAGUCCCGCAACGAGCGCAACCCUGUUGCUAGUUACAAGUGUCUAGCAAGACUGCCGACAUCAAGUUGGAGGAAGGUGGGGAUGAUGUCAAGUCAGCAUGGCCUUUAUAUCUGGGGCGACACACACGCUACAAUGGGCGAUACAAUGGGCAGCGAAGGGGUGACCUGGAGCGAAUCUCAUCAAAGUCGUUCGUAGUUCGGAUUGUAGGCUGA